UACGUAGGGUGCAAGCGUUGUCCGGAAUUAUUGGGCGUAAAGAGCUCGUAGGCGGUCUGUCGCGUCUGCUGUGAAAACUCAGGGCUUAACCCUGAGCUUGCAGUGGGUACGGGCAGACUAGAGUGCGGUAGGGGAGACCGGAAUUCCUGGUGUAGCGGUGAAAUGCGCAGAUACCAGGAGGAACACCGGUGGCGAAGGCGGGUCUCUGGGCCGUAACUGACGCUGAGGAGCGAAAGCAUGGGGAGCGAACAGG
rnacentral:rRNA from 1 species